CCCGUCCUCUGUAUUCCCCGGACUCAAUGGAGGAACAUUAUGAGACCCCUCAUGGUUAUCAGAAUGGAAAUCUGAUUGUUGUUAAAGCUGAAGUGAAAGAGGAAACGGAAGAGACAUCUAUGAGGAGCGAUGAGCCGUAUAAGGAGGAGGAAACCCCUCCAGGGAUCAGCACAGACCCCGGAGACACCAGCACAGCUCAAGAAAAAGUCACAGCUAAGGAGGAGGAAGAAGGACGUGCGGAGAUUAGAGAGGAAG